UCUAAUAUGGCAGAAUAGUGCAAUGGAUUUAAGUCCCAGAUAUAAAGGCUCCUCUUUUUUUAGAA
rnacentral:tRNA from 1 species